rnacentral:rRNA from 1 species
UAAACUAGGAUUAGAUACCCUAUUAUUAAAAAUGUAAAUUUUAAAUACUAAAUUAGUAUUAGUUAUGUUCUUGAAAAUUAAAUAAUUUGGCGGUAUUUUAGUCUUUUCAGAGGAACCUGCCCUGUAAUUGAUAGUCCACGAUAAUAAUUACUUUAUUUAUUAGUUUACAUAUCGUCGUAGUUUGAAUAUUUUAAUAGAAUAAUAAUAUUCAAUAUUUUAAAUUAAAAAAUAUAUCAGAUCAAGGUGUAGUUUAUAGUAAAGUAGUGGUGGGUUACAAUAAAAAUAUUUAAGGAUAAUUUUUUUUAAAAAAAUUUGAAUAUGGAUUUGAAAGUAAUUUUAUAUAUUUAUUUAAAAUGAUUAUAGCUCUAAAAUAUGCACACAUCGCCCGUCGCUCUUAA